rnacentral:rRNA from 1 species
GACGAACGCUGGCGGCGUGCUUAACACAUGCAAGUCGAACGGAAAGGCCCUGCUUUUGUGGGGUGCUCGAGUGGCGAACGGGUGAGUAACACGUGAGUAACCUGCCCUUGACUUUGGGAUAACUUCAGGAAACUGGGGCUAAUACCGGAUAGGAGCUCCUGCUCCAUGGUGGGGGUUGGAAAGUUUCGGCGGUUGGGGAUGGACUCGCGGCUUAUCAGCUUGUUGGUGGGGUAGUGGCUUACCAAGGCUUUGACGGGUAGCCGGCCUGAGAGGGUGACCGGCCACAAUGGGACUGAGAUACGGCCCAGACUCCUACGGGAGGCAGCAGUGGGGAAUAUUGCACAAUGGGCGGAAGCCUGAUGCAGCAACGCCGCGUGCGGGAUGACGGCCUUCGGGUUGUAAACCGCUUUCGCCUGUGACGAAGCGUGAGUGACGGUAAUGGGUAAAGAAGCACCGGCUAACUACGUG